AAAAAAUUUCUAAUUAAAGCACAAGUCCAGAAAUUUUUAGGGGAUGUAGUUUAUCGACAGCACCGAUUCUAGUAUUGACUGGUACUUUGAUUUAUCGACCAGAAAGGAUAAACAGCAAAAUUGAUCUCGAGAAAAGUUGAACUAAGAACCUAAUGACGACGCCCUGGACACUACAAUAGGCCUGUUUCGAUUCAAGUGCAGUUUAGUCCAUAAAUGACGUGUCAGGUGGGCUGUCUGAAGGCAGUAAAAGUUUCUUCGAAGUGAUUAACUCGUAGUUGGGCAGACGCGCGCACACAAACACGUAUCGCAUAUCUACCUCUGUUAAUAUUUAUUUAUAGAGAAAGACAAAGAGAUCGAUAUAUAUCGGCAUUUAUACACAGGGAUAAAUGAAUUCUGAAAAAAGUAUGAUCAAGCGAAACGGAGCUGCAAUCCGGAAUCUACUGAUUGCCGUAACCUUGGUGUCUUUAAUGUAUUUUGUCUAUAUGUAUCAUGACAUCCAGUCCCGCCUUCGACAUUCCGAUAUUGUUAGUGAGAAGUUUAAAAGAGACAGAGAAUCGUUAUCGUCCCAACUCAACG
rnacentral:lncRNA from 1 species